GACGAACCGUGCGAACGUUGUUCGGAAUCACUGGGCUUAAAGGGCGCGUAGGCGGGCGGGCAAGUCUGCGGUGAAAGCCUCCAGCUCAACUGGAGAAGUGCCGUGGAUACUGCUCAUCUUGAGGAGGGUAGGGGCGUCUGGAACGUUGGGUGGAGCGGUGAAAUGCGUUGAUAUCCAACGGAACUCCGGUGGCGAAGGCGAGGCGCUGGACCAUUUCUGACGCUGAUGCGCGAAAGCCAGGGGAGCGAACGGG
rnacentral:rRNA from 1 species